AGCUUUGCACAGUGACAGUAUCAUAGCCAAUGAGGUUUAUCCGAGGUGCGAUUAUUGCUCAUCAAAUCUUAGAUUUUUUUAGAUAUGAUCUUGAAAGC
rnacentral:snRNA from 1 species